UAAAUUAUGCCAACAGUGUAAAGUAGACUUAGCUAUGAUAUCUGCCAUGAAGAGAAAAAAUCUUGGACUCACUGAGGAAAAAGAAUCAAGAGAAAAAUUUGGGCCGAUCAAAGUACAUACCCCCUUCCCCCUUCAAGACCUAAGGCAGAUAAAAACUGACUCUACUGGAAAGUUAGGAGAUAUGCCAGAUUGCCUGGGAUUGGAUCUAUCCAAAGGAGCUAAUCCUGUAAGUAAAAGGGAAACUGAGGAUUCCCAGCAGCUGCCAGAGCCAUUUUCGCUUUGGGGAAUUUCCUCAUUCUUCCCUGCACUGUAAGGAUUGCUCCAUCUCUGUCCACUUAAAAAGAAGGGACACUGAAUGCAGUAAAGUCAGUCACACUGAGACCCUUGAUUUUACACCUAUAGUUGCCCCUCUGUGAAAACAUCUGGUCCACUCAUGGGGAAAUCUAUGGUGCCACUGAUAAGAGUCAUAAUUAAAUGGAAGUUCAAAACCUGGAGAGAUUUUUUUUCUUAUCUGGUCUGUUUUAAAGGUUAUUAUAGGUUGUUUCUUGGGGAUGAUCUUGGCUAAAUGUGUGUCUAAAAGAUGAUUUUUUUAUUGUAACAUCUGGUAUCUAAAUGAGUUUGAAGCAUUGCAUAAUCUUGCAGUUAAAAGUUGGGGUUAGGUAAUUGUUUAGUUUGUGAUUCCAGAUAAUUCAUGCCGGAGAACUUAAAUACUUAGGAUAGAAAAUUGAAAGAAUUCUACUUCCAAGUUGGCAAGUAACUCCCAAUCAUUUAGUUUUAUUUUGAACUGGGUAGCCUGAGAAGAUUUCACUAGGUGUACCAGUGCAUUAACUUGGGCAAGGAUAGUAAAUUAUGAUAUGGUAUCUGUUCCCCUCAGUGUGUAAGAUUUAGGAAAAAAAUGUUGAAUUGGAACGUUGGUCUGGCUUAUUGAAAUAACAAAGAAUAGCAACAGUAUUGGAAAUUUUUAAAAGCUUAAUUUUGGAUAUACAUGGUAGUGUGUGGUUCUCUUUAAGAUUUUUUUUCAGGUGAUUUAAUGUAACUUAAUACUACUUUAGGAACUUCAGAAUAAAGGAAGUGACUUAAUGAUACUAAAGAAAUUUCUUCUGAUGGUAGAGAUCCUAUUUUCAGUUUUGUGUGAGCAAGUUUUUCUAGUGUAGGAAACUGUAAAGGUAUAAAAUUUAUAAAUUGUAUCUUAAACUUGUAUCAUAAUUUUCAACAUCCAAACCUGAAAAUUGUGACUUAUGGUUAAAAUGCCUUAGGCAUGAGGUUUCUGCUCAGAAUUCCAGUUUUCCCAGUUCCUUCCAGACCUCAGCCAGGACUUAAGUUGAUAUGCAAAUAGAAGAAGCCUAGAGCACUCAGUAGGAGACAGAUCUAAGGCCCAAGAAAAAAAAAGAGUAAAAGUGUCUUUUUAUGGGAACUCAAACUAGAUUAAACCAAAGAGUAAAUUAUAUGGUAUUUACUAAUUACUGGCCAGUCAUCUUUUUUCUAGGACUUUUGCUCUUUCUUAGAUUCUGUAUUUUUUGAGCUCAAUGAUUUUGAUCCUACAGACAAGUUAAUGUUUUUCUGAUAAGUUCUAUUUUUGAUCAACUGGAGUUUUUUUUUUUAAACAUUGCAAUGAGAUUUCACCUGAAAAAGCUACAAGGCCUUUACUAUUGUGUUGUGUUACACUUGUGUUACGUGUUGUAUGUUGGUAUGUCUGUGUGUAUGUCCAUAUAUUGUGCAGUGAUAUGACAAUUGACAGAUGAGGAGCGCUCAUGAAAAAUUUUUAAAAAAUGGAUCCAAAUCUUUUGAUUCACGUGAUUCAAAUGGUUCAAUUUAAAUUGGGUAAACAGAUGAAAGUAAAGAUGUCUUUAAAAUUAAGCUUAUAAGUUUUUCUAGAUGUUCAAAAAGGCCCUAAUAAAGUGUUAAAUCUGCUUAAAUUCAAAAAUUUACAAGUAUUGUUUCAAAAUGUGAACAGGAGGAGGUUAACAGAUGAAAAAGAGAAACUAGAAGGUUCUAGAUAUGGAUUUAAUAGAGGGAAAAUGUGUUUCUGGAUAAGAGUCUAUAUGAUUAAGAGGGUUUAAGUAAAUGAUAUAAGAAGGUCUGUGUAAGUUGCUUAUAAGUGUAAGAUUUUGAGCAAGUAAUCUUAAAGAAAUUAAACAGCUGGUCAAACAAGUGCUGUUGUUUUAAAGAAUUGUGCUAUGUUAUUUCUUUAAAAAGCUAAACUUCAUUAAUAUAAAAACAUCAAUGUAAUUGUGGUGUUAAUGUGUCCAUAUCUUCCAGGUAUACAAGUCUGUAGGGUAGAAGUUUUAAAAAGAGCAUUAUAUCAAGCUGGUGUUCUAAAGUUGUAUGGUAAUUUUAGGCUUAAAAAGAAAAACAUGUUGGAGAUUUAUUUACAUCAUUUGUGUUCUAUAACUGGACUUAUUAUCAAUAAGAUAUGUAAAGUUCUAUGUUACUUUUUACACUGAGAUACAAUUUAAAUAUAUUUUUAAGUUAAUGAGAGCCUAAUCUGUGUGAAGGUUUUAUUGCAAAACACAAAAGUACUUUGCUACUUUUCUACAAAAGGUUAAAAGCUUUCAGCCUUUCUUUAAUUCAUGUUUUAGAUGUGAUAUUAUGUUGUGUUUGCUCAAGUUCACAACAAUUUAUGUAGGCUUUGUAAAAUGAUGUUUGAAAAGCAAAGAUCAGUGAUCAGUUUCAGAACUACAGUACUUAAGAUUUAUGAAGAGCCCUGCCUUACUUGAGAUAAGGCUCUGUCCCAUCUCACUACAUUUGAAAGUGACUAUGGAAGAAGUAGGCCAGAUUUCAGUACAUUUAAAGUUGUGUCCAAAAGUUGGUUUUUGUCACGAUUACCAGGAUCUCAAACAGGGAAUUAUGAUGUAUAACCCUGCCAGAAUUCAAGGUAGCUAUUAUAUAAGCUAAAUGUUUUUACUCUUGAUAAUUUUAUUUUGUAGUUUUCUUAUAAAUGAUUUAGGAUUGCCAGUUAAUG
rnacentral:lncRNA from 1 species